UGAGCUUGAUCCUGGCUCAGGAUGAACGCUAGCGGCAGGCUUAACACAUGCAAGUCGAGGGGUAUAGUUCUUCGGAAUUAGAGACCGGCGCACGGGUGCGUAACGCGUAUGCAAUCUACCUUUACAGAGGGAUAGCCCAGAGAAAUUUGGAUUAAUACCUCAUAGUAUAAUGACUUGGCAUCAAGACAUUAUUAAAGUCACAACGGUAAAAGAUGAGCAUGCGUCCCAUUAGCUAGUUGGUAAGGUAACGGCUUACCAAGGCUACGAUGGGUAGGGGUCCUGAGAGGGAGAUCCCCCACACUGGUACUGAGACACGGACCAGACUCCUACGGGAGGCAGCAGUGAGGAAUAUUGGACAAUGGGCGCAAGCCUGAUCCAGCCAUGCCGCGUGCAGGAUGACGGUCCUAUGGAUUGUAAACUGCUUUUAUACGAGAAGAAACACUACUUCGUGAAGUAGCUUGACGGUAUCGUAGA
rnacentral:rRNA from 1 species